rnacentral:siRNA from 1 species
UCACCACCGUCUCGAGCUACCACU